GUUAUCAAGAAAGGCGGAGGGAUAGACCCAGUGAUGCCUUAGCAACCCUUUAACAAUUAAAGAAGGUGCUAAAUUCUACCAAUCAUGGAUAGAUAA
rnacentral:ncRNA from 1 species